AAUAUUGCACAAUGGAGGAAACUCUGAUGCAGCGACGCCGCGUGAACGAUGAAGGCUUUCGAGUCGUAAAGUUCUGUCCUUGGGGACGAUAAUGACGGUACCCAUGGAGGAAGCCCCGGCUAACUACGUGCCAGCAGCCGCGGUAAUACGUAGGGGGCGAGCGUUGUCCGGAAUUAUUGGGCGUAAAGGGUUCGCAGGCGGCCUAAUAAGUCAGAUGUGAAAGCCAACGGCUCAACCGUUGCAAGCAUUUGAAGCUGUAAGGCUUGAGUUAAGGAGAGGAAAGUGGAAUUCCUAGUGUAGCGGUGAAAUGCGUAGAUAUUAGGAGGAAUACCAGUGGCGAAGGCGACUUUCUGGACUUAUACUGACGCUGAGGAACGAAAGCGUGGGGAGCAAAC
rnacentral:rRNA from 1 species